GGGCACAUGGUGUAGGGGUUAUCACAUUCGAUUUGCAUACGGCCUUGCGAAAGGUCUUCGGUUCAAUUCCGGAUGUGUCCA